CGACUCUCAGCAACGGAUAUCUUGGCUCUUGCAACGAUGAAGAACGCAGCAAAAUGCGAUACCUAGUGUGAAUUGCAGAAUUCCGCGAAUCAUCGAGUCUUUGAACGCAAGUUGCGCCCGAGGCUUGUCC
rnacentral:rRNA from 1 species